GAUGAACGCUGACAGAAUGCUUAAAACAUGCAAGUCAACUGUGGCGGACGGGUGAGUAACGCGUAAAGAACUUGCCUCACAGAUAGGGACAACAUUUGGAAACGAAUGCUAAUCCCUGAUACUGUGAGAGAGCUUUGCGUCCCAUUAGCUAGUUGGAGAGGUAACGGCUCACCAAGGCGAUGAUGGGUAGCCGGCCUGGGUGGGUGAUCGUCCAAAAGGGGACUAGGACACGGCCCUUACUCCUACGGGAGGCAGCAGUGAGGAAUAUUGGGCAAUGGGCCAAAGUCUGAUCCAGCAAUUCUGUGUGCACGAUGAAGUUUUCGGAAUGUAAAGUGCAUUCAGUUGGGAAGCAGUACCAACAGAAGAAGUGACGGCUAAAUACGUGCCAGCAGCCGCGGUAAUAC
rnacentral:rRNA from 1 species